GUCUUAGUGAGUCAGGAGCAAUGAAAUAAUAUUCUAUGGAGGUGCCCUAAUUGUUCAACUUGACUCAGAAAUAAAAACUGAUAUAUCUGUCUCUUUCUCACAACAGUGGUUUAACGGGAGAAAAAACGUUUACACUCUUUUAUCAGCACCCUCUUCAUUGGCUUCGAUGUGUUUGUGCUGGAGCACCGCCAUCUUAAGUAGCCCGCUUAGCUUACUCGUGGAAGUUAUCACCGUGAGGAUUUUACGUUUUUCCGAGGAAAUCCCGUGUUUUUCUACUGUUUACCAAGUUGUGCUUAUAUUAAUCGUUAAUAAACAACAAAUGAAGUGUUCAAUAGCAUAUUGUGGCUUAUGCCAAAGCAAAAAUAGGCCGAAUUUAACCUUUCACCGUUUACCAAGGAACGAAUCUCGGCGAAGGGAAUGGCUACAAAUAAUUGGCAUACAAAAUAUCCGGCCGGGAACAAAAGACAUCUACCUAUGUUAGCUCAAUGCACUUUGAAGAGAGUGCAUUCAAUAAAACUUUAAAUAUAGUUAGAUUGAGAGAUGAUGCUAACCCAACAAUAUUUGCAAAGGCAGACCAUCCAUCCCCAUCUGCAUUAAUGGACAUUACAACUACCACUGAUCAACCAUCAUGCUCAAGUAAUCCUCCACGAUAAUGUUUAUAUUUUAAGAUUUUAUAAAAAUAGAAUUGCUACUUUGUUAGCAAACAACAUAAAAGAACUGACGGGUUUACAUUGUGGUAAACGAUUCUUUACAUUUCUUUACAUAAUCUGUCAAAAUCGACAGAAUCAUCAAAUUUUUGUAAUGAUGAUUCUGUGGACGCAACACGUGAUUUAAACUAAACCAUAGGUCUGUUUGUAUUAGUGUUGAGGUAUCUUGUGCCGAACUUGAGGAACACAUUGUUAUUUGUAUUUAUAGUCCACUCAAUAAUAGUUUUAUUAAUUUCCUGAAUGUAAUAAAUAAAUAAUAAUAAUUUUA